UACAGAGGGGGCAAGCGUUGUUCGGAAUUACUGGGCGUAAAGGGCGCGUAGGCGGCCUGCUAAGUCGAACGUGAAAUCCCCGGGCUCAACCCGGGAACUGCGUCCGAUACUGGCAGGCUUGAAUUCGGGAGAGGGAUGUGGAAUUCCAGGUGUAGCGGUGAAAUGCGUAGAGAUUUGGAGGAACACCAGUGGCGAAGGCGACUAUCUGGUCUGUAACUGACACUGAGGCGCGAAAGCGUGGGGAGCAAACAGG
rnacentral:rRNA from 1 species